rnacentral:rRNA from 1 species
AUACGUAGGGGGCAAGCGUUGUCCGGAAUUAUUGGGCGUAAAGCGCGCGCAGGCGGUCUUUUAAGUCAGGUGUUUAAUCCCGGGGCUCAACCCUGGUCCGCACCUGAAACUGGGAGACUUGAGUGCAGGAGAGGAGAGCGGAAUUCCACGUGUAGCGGUGAAAUGCGUAGAGAUGUGGAGGAACACCAGUGGCGAAGGCGGCUCUCUGGUCUGUAACUGACGCUGAGGCGCGAAAGCGUGGGUAGCAAACAGGAUUAGAUACCCUGGUAGUCCACGCCGUAAACGAUGAAUGCUAGGUGUCAGGGGUAUCGAUGCCCUUGGUGCCGAAGUCAACACAUUAAGCAUUCCGCCUGGGGAGUACGGUCGCAAGACUGAA